GUGCUCGCUUUGGCAGCACAUAUACUAAAAUUGGACCGACACAGAGAUUGUUAGCAUGGCUCCUGUGCAAGGAUGACAUGCAAAUUCGUGAAGUGUUCCAUAUUUAA